rnacentral:rRNA from 1 species
UACGUAGGGGGCAAGCGUUGUCCGGAAUUACUGGGCGUAAAGCGUGCGCAGGCGGUUGUGCAAGACAGAUGUGAAAUCCCCGGGCUUAACCUGGGAAUUGCAUUUGUGACUGCACGACUAGAGUGUGUCAGGGGGGGGUAGAAUUCCACGUGUAGCAGUGAAAUGCGUAGAGAUGUGGAGGAACACCGAUGGCGAAGGCAGCCCCCUGGGCUAACACUGACGCUCAUGCACGAAAGCGUGGGGAGCAAACAGG